rnacentral:misc_RNA from 1 species
GAGAAGGUGGCCGGACGGGUAA